CAGCAUGUAUGUAAAGUUCCCCAGCAUAGUUUUGUAGAUUGGCUGUGGAAGGCUUUUUGUCUUUUGUAGUAAUCUAUGUGAGAGACUGUGUAGCUUCGAUGGACUCUGCCUCUCUUUUAAUUUGAGGACUUUUCUGAAUAAGUUCAUUUCGCUUCUCUGUUCUUCUGAAGCCCAGUGUCUGUGUGCAAAGCGUGGCUGUCCUCAGAACAUCAAACACGACUGUACAGUGAUUGCUAUUGAAUGGCCUAUGCCUGCAACUUAAAUUAGCUCCUACUUGUGAUUUACCACUACUGAAAUAAACCCUCCAAGCUUUGCUUCAGCAAGGCCAAUCUGGCAUGUUUAAGCUUUCCAUAAACAACUUCUCUAGAACAACCUCAUUUUGCAAUUGCACCAAGUCACAUGCGAGCACCUGAAAUCCUGUGACUUAGCCGUACUACAUCUUUCUCAUUCAUUUUAAUUGUUGUGGAUUUGAGUUUUCCUCUUUUGAUCUGAAGACUAAUAUUGCAGCCUAAUAGUAUAUCUUCAUCCCUUUAUCUGUAUUCACUUAAGUCAGUCUCAAGUCUUCUUCAUUCAGGGCUUCCAGAUUUCUAGAUGUUACAGAACUUUUCAGAUAUACCACCACUCUACAGGGUUUCCAUUCCCUGGGGAAUUUUGGCAGCAUAUUUAGCCACAGUAUCUCUGUCUUUUCAUUCCACAAUGUAUGGGAACUGUUGAGUCAUGGCCUGAACCACUGAUUGAGCACCUGGGGAAACGACCCGGUCAGCCCUGGGAGCACAGGUGAAGGCAAUUCAGCUGUGUGACCAGAAGGGGUGGAGCCUGGCUGUGCACCUCUCUUAGACCUCACUGAAGGGCUGACCUCCACUGGGGAAGGAUCUCUGGUUGGAGAUCCUUCCUUGGUGAAGCUUUCCCCUGUGAACCUAGAAUUUUCUGAAUCAGCACAGUGUGAUCUGAAUUGCAUCCAUAAAGCACAGAUGAGAAAAGAUAGCCCAUACUUUUCAAUGCCAUUCACUUGAACAGAACCAUCGUGCUUCAGUCAUGCAAACAACAGUCCUCUCAGCAAAUUGAAACCCACACUCAAGACUGCAGAAAGGGUGAGCAAGCCAUGUGAAGACCAUACUGUAUGCUUAAUUAUCUAUAAGCAAGCAAGCAAUGCUCUGAAAGCUAGUAAGAGUUACAUAGAAAAAGGAAAUGCUGUCUGCAGAACAUCAGCUGCAGAAUUUAGAAGUUCUGCAAUGAAGGAAGCAGCCAGUUGAAGGUAAGAAAGGACAGCCCUACGGAUGAUGCAAUUAAGUGCUGCAUUUAAGAACUGACUGUAUCCCUGCUACUGACGCAGUCCACUGGGAAUGCCAGAAAAUCUGUGCAACUGUCCUGAGACCACAGGACAUUAUCAAUCUGUGGAGUAUUCUGCAAAUGAACUAGGGCUGUGUUUGGAAUAUGAAGGACUAUUAAAGAUGGUAAUGCAAGAAAAUCAAUUGACUACGUUAAUGUUUCCAAAUGAGUACCAAGAAGUGUGGUUACAUUUGUCUUCUUCCUAUGGCUCAGUUCAACCAAGUAGAAAAUGUCCCUCUCAUCUUAGGCUAUUUUGAAAAUAAAUUAAAUUGUGUAGUGGAAAUGCUUAGUCAUGGCCUGAACCAGAUACUGAGCUCCUGGUGGGAGGGCAAGGCCAGCCCAGGGGAGCUCAGGUGCAUGUAAUACAUCUGAGUAACAGGAAGGGGUGGAACCAGGAUCUACCCCUUCCCAGACCUCAUUUAAGGGUCGUCAGUGGAGGCAAGGGUAUCUUGCUAGAAAUCCCUGCCUACCUGAGGCCUUCCAAAAGUAAGCAGGUUCUUUCCUUUGUUUCUGUAUCUACAGCUGUUGCAUUUGGGCAUAUCCUCACCUGCUGCAGCCCAGGACUUUGCUAAUAUGCUGUCAUUGCUAUGCUUUGCAUUGUGUUACAGCAUUACAAAUUGUCAAGAACAAAAUGGAAAAAUGAUAGUUUGAAAGUAACUGUCCUUGUAAUAAUAUGAACCCUAGAAUAUCUUGAUACAGCUCGUGACUAUACUCUUAGCAUCUCUGCCUAUACCUAUAUAAUUCCAGAAACUGACAGUAAAUUAGGGACUGAUGGGGCAACAUCAAAAACUAGUAGUUUACAUUACAUAAGUAUCUCUCUUGUAUCUUUCCAAAGACUUUUACCCCUUAAAGUUGCAUCCUGACUUAAGUGCAACUCAUAGCCUUCCUGUGGCUCUUUCUCACGUCUCUAAUUACUUCAGUCAGAGAUAAGGCACCCUCCAUCCCAUUCAAAGAAGUCAGUAGCAUUUAGGAGACAAAAUCACAUGGGACUGAUACUUCAUUAGA